UGGGGACACAGAGCCAAACCUGUGAGGGUCA
rnacentral:piRNA from 1 species